CCUACGGGAGGCAGCAGUGAGGAAUAUUGGUCAAUGGACGAGAGUCUGAACCAGCCAAGUAGCGUGAAGGAUGACUGCCCUAUGGGUUGUAAACUUCUUUUAUAUGGGAAUAAAACGUUCCACGUGUGGGAUUUUGUAUGUACCAUAUGAAUAAGGAUCGGCUAACUCCGUGCCAGCAGCCGCGGUAAUACGGAGGAUACGAGCGUUAUCCGGAUUUAUUGGGUUUAAAGGGAUCGGAGGUGGAUUGUUAAGUCAGUUGUGAAAGUUUGCGGAUCAACCAUAAAAUUGCAGUUGAAACUGGCAGUCUUGAGUACAGUAGAGGUAGGCGGAAUUCGGGGUGUAGCGGUGAAAUGCUUAGAUAUCACGAAGAACUCCGAUUGCGAAGGCAGUUCACUGGACUGCAACUGACACUGAGGCUCGAAAGUGUGGGUAUCAAACAGGAUUAGAUACCCUUGUAGUC
rnacentral:rRNA from 1 species